rnacentral:rRNA from 1 species
UACGGGGGGAGCAAGCGUUGUUCGGAUUUACUGGGCGUAAAGGGCGCGUAGGCGGUCGUGACAAGUCACUUGUGAAAUCUCCGGGCUUAACUCGGAACGGUCAAGUGAUACUGUCGGACUAGAGUACAGGAAGGGGCAACUGGAAUUCUCGGUGUAGCGGUGAAAUGCGUAGAUAUCGAGAGGAACACCUGCGGCGAAGGCGGGUUGCUGGGCUGAUACUGACGCUGGAGGCGCGAAAGCCGGUAGGCGAACGGGAUUAGAACCAGUACGUCGAGUCCAAGAUCCA